rfam:Lactobacillus dextrinicus DSM 20335 NODE_3, whole genome shotgun sequence.
AUUUAAGAAUAUUUUCUACCUAAGACUCAGGUGACGUAAGUCUCAAUAUCCUGCCGAGGCCAGAUGAUAACUGUCAAGUUAACCUCUGUGUCUUUGGACACAGAGGUUUUUAUUUGGUAAU